GGUCUGCAACUCGACCCCAUGAAGUCGGAAUCGCUAGUAAUCGCGUAACAGCAUGACGCGGUGAAUACGUUCCCGGGCCUUGUACACACCGCCCGUCACACCAUGGGAGUUGGGUCUACCCGAAGGUGGUGCGCCAACCAGCAAUGGAGGCAGCCAACCACGGUAGGCUCAGCGACUGGGGUGAAGUCGUAACAAGGUAGCCGUAGGGGAACCUGCGGCUGGAUCACCUCCUUUCUAAGG
rnacentral:rRNA from 1 species